rnacentral:rRNA from 1 species
GAUGAACGCUGGCGGCGUGCUUAACACAUGCAAGUCGAACGAAGCACUUUAUUUGAUUUCCUUCGGGACUGAUUAUUUUGUGACUGAGUGGCGGACGGGUGAGUAACGCGUGGGUAACCUGCCUUGUACAGGGGGAUAACAGUUGGAAACGGCUGCUAAUACCGCAUAAGCGCCCAGCAUCGCAUGAUGCAGUGUGAAAAACUCCGGUGGUAUAAGAUGGACCCGCGUUGGAUUAGCUAGUUGGUGAGGUAACGGCCCACCAAGGCGACGAUCCAUAGCCGACCUGAGAGGGUGACCGGCCACAUUGGGACUGAGACACGGCCCAAACUCCUACGGGAGGCAGCAGUGGGGAAUAUUGCACAAUGGGCGAAAGCCUGAUGCAGCGACGCCGCGUGAGCGAAGAAGUAUUUCGGUAUGUAAAGCUCUAUCAGCAGGGAAGAUAAUGACGGUACCUGACCAAGAAGCACCGGCUAAAUACGUG